UGAAAAGUGGUGCAUCACCCAAUGGCUAGC
rnacentral:piRNA from 1 species